CCUACGGGAGGCAGCAGUGGGGAAUAUUGCACAAUAGGCGCAAGCCUGAUGCAGCCAUGCCGCGUGUGUGAAGAAGGCCUUCGGGUUGUAAAGCACUUUCAGCGGGGAGGAAGGCGUUAAGGUUAAUAACCUUGGCGAUUGACGUUACCCGCAGAAGAAGCACCGGCUAACUCCGUGCCAGCAGCCGCGGUAAUACGGAGGGUGCAAGCGUUAAUCGGAAUUACUGGGCGUAAAGCGCACGCAGGCGGUCUGUCAAGUCGGAUGUGAAAUCCCCGGGCUCAACCUGGGAACUGCAUUCGAAACUGGCAGGCUAGAGUCUUGUAGAGGGGGGUAGAAUUCCAGGUGUAGCGGUGAAAUGCGUAGAGAUCUGGAGGAAUACCGGUGGCGAAGGCGGCCCCCUGGACAAAGACUGACGCUCAGGUGCGAAAGCGUGGGGAGCAAACAGGAUUAGAUACCCGGGUAGUC
rnacentral:rRNA from 1 species